GACGAACGCUGGCGGCAUGCCUAAUACAUGCAAGUCGAACGGAGCUUAUUGAGAAGCUUGCUUCUCAAUAAGUUCAGUGGCGGACGGGUGAGUAACACGUAGGCAACCUGCCUGUAAGUCGGGGAUAACUCACGGAAACGUGAGCUAAGACCGGAUGGUCGAGAGGAAGGCAUCUUCCUCUUGGGAAAGACGGAGUAAUCUGUCGCUUAUGGAUGGGCCUGCGGCGCAUUAGCUAGUUGGUGAGGUAACGGCUCACCAAGGCGACGAUGCGUAGCCGACCUGAGAGGGUGAACGGCCACACUGGGACUGAGACACGGCCCAGACUCCUACGGGAGGCAGCAGUAGGGAAUCUUCGGCAAUGGACGCAAGUCUGACCGAGCAAUGCCGCGUGAGUGAGGAAGGCCCUCGGGUCGUAAAGCUCUGUUGCCAGGGAAGAACGCUUAGGAGAGUAACUGCUCUUAAGGUGACGGUACCUGAGAAGAAAGCCCCGGCUAA
rnacentral:rRNA from 1 species